AGCUUGGGGUAUGUGAGACUGUCUCAAAAAUUUUAAAAAAUUAAACAUACCAAUAACAAAACCUCAGCACACGCAUAUGGAUUUGUUUUGUAUGUCACAUCUAGUUUGAGAAUAUAAGUUUCUUUCAUCCAUAGCUGAGGCUACAAAGAGGUACUGCACUGUUGUGGGUCUCUCUGCCUAUCAAGGAAAAGUUAGCUCAACAAAGGUAGGACCCGUUUGGGCCAAAAUAAUUUUUAUGUAUUAUCACUUGGAUGGAUACAGUGUUAAGAUUCAGUUCUUCACUCGCUCUUAUUUCUGGAAAAUGUUCACUCUGGUGGUAUCCUGGCAAUAAGAUCUUAAUAGAAGUCUGGAGCAAAAUUUGAUACAACUGUCACUUGGGGGAACUGAAAAGAGCAUGUCCACUGUUUGACCAAGAGACUUACCUCUUUUUAUUAAACGUACUUCAGGGAUUUCUAAUAGUAUGAAUGUCCAGUAAGUGGAAUUUGUUAUGUUCUGAGUUUUAAAAGGUGAAAUAUAAAUACAUUUUUAAAAACUUAUCCAAAAUGUCACUGUUAAGACAAAUCAGAAAACAGUAAAUUAGGACAAUUAAAAACAAAACAAGCCAGGCAGUGGUGGCCCACGCCUUUAAUCCCAGCACUCAGGAGGCAGAAGCAGGUGGAUUUCUGAGUUCCGAGGCCAGCCUGGUCUACAAAGUGAGUUCCAAGACAGCCAGGGCUAUACAGAGAAACCCUGUCUCGAAAAACCAAACCAAAACAAAACCCUCAUGUCAAAAGGAGUCCCAAGGCAGCUUACGAGGUAGAAGCUAGGCCUGGCCAGGUAGUUAACAGGACAGAAACUGCCUCUCACCGGCUUUGAAACUUUGGGGUGGGGGUGGAGUCACCUGUUCUCUCUGCGUCUAGACAUCUAGGAUUGUGUGGGCGCUGCUACAUUGUUAGUGCUUCCCCACAACUCAGGUGGGUCUUGAGCUCUCUCUUUCUACCUCUCCUCUUUCAGCCAGUCUGACCAACUUAGAGGUAGCCUUCAGCUGGGGCAUGAAUGCUUGGCCUAACAAAGCUUCUAUUGAUAGCAAAAAGACUGGUCAUGCAGAAUAGGCCAGGCCUCACAUGCUUAGCAUGCUAAUUGUUCUUCCUACUGACAUUAAUGUGGGAAUCACAAAGACCUGAGGUAUCGUCCACUAACUCGUUUUCCCUACAGCUGGCCUGUAGUAUACCAUUCCUAAGGCUUUUUUAUGUAAGUCAUUUGCCCUCACAGUUUUAAAGUUUUUAUCAGCAACCUGAUGGCUCAUUCAUAUGAUUUUAGCACUUGGGAGACAGAGGCAGACUUGGGCUAGGGUACAGCAUAUCUUUAGGGGAGUGGAGAGGCUAAAUAAAUAACUUGAGUCCAUAAAGUUAUUACCAUACAUAAAAUCAUGAGUACCUGAGUUCAAUCCCCAGAACCCGCAUAAAAAUCCUGGUGUGGCCAGGCAUGGUGGUGCAUGCCUUUAAUCCUGGCACUUGGGAGGCAGAGGCAGGCGGAUUUCUGAGUUUGAGGCCAGCCUGCUCUACAGAAUGAGUUCCAAGACAGCCAGGGCUAUACAGAGAAACCCUGUUUCAGAAAACAAAACAAAAAAUCCUGGUGUGAUGGCACACUUUAAUACCAGAUGGGGAAGCAGAAACCAAAGGAUUUCCUGUGCAAGCUGCCCUAGGGAUCCCAAGUUU
rnacentral:lncRNA from 1 species